UACGUAGGGGGCAAGCGUUGUCCGGAAUUAUUGGGCGUAAAGAGCUCGUAGGCGGCUUGUCACGUCGGGUGUGAAAGCCCGGGGCUUAACCCCGGGUCUGCAUUCGAUACGGGCUAGCUAGAGUGUGGUAGGGGAGAUCGGAAUUCCUGGUGUAGCGGUGAAAUGCGCAGAUAUCAGGAGGAACACCGGUGGCGAAGGCGGAUCUCUGGGCCAUUACUGACGCUGAGGAGCGAAAGCGUGGGGGAGCGAACAGG
rnacentral:rRNA from 1 species